rnacentral:rRNA from 1 species
UACGGAGGGUGCAAGCGUUAAUCGGAAUUACUGGGCGUAAAGCGCACGCAGGCGGUCUGUUAAGUCAGAUGUGAAAUCCCCGGGCUCAACCCGGGAACUGCAUUUGAACUGGCAGGCUUGAGUCUCGUAGAGGGGGGUAGAAUUCCAGGUGUAGCGGUGAAAUGCGUAGAGAUCUGGAGGAAUACCGGUGGCGAAGGCGGCCCCCUGGACGAAGACUGACGCUCAGGUGCGAAAGCGUGGGGAUCAAACAGG